AGAUGUGAGGGUGAUCUGGCUGCAACAUCUUUAACCACAUUAAUUGCCAGGGUUGAUUUCACUGAUAUGGCUAGCUAGGAGGGUGUCUCCUUCCUCCUUCACCUCUUCAUGUGUGUACCUCCUGAAGCUGCAAGGUCGAAGAAGAUGGCCUUCCCCUGAAUAGAGAUGAACCAGACUUUGGUCAAAGGUAUACAAGUAGCUGCAUUCCCCUGAUAGAACCUCUAAACAAGCUCUCUUUUGUAUAGUUUCCUUAUUUUCAAUGUUAUUUAUUUAUGCCCCAACUUUAGUGAUUUCUGUUCUCUGG
rnacentral:snRNA from 1 species